rnacentral:lncRNA from 1 species
AUGUUAAAUGAUCUUGGGCUGAUCAAGACAGGAGGAGGAUGCAGAAGCAUGUCCUUUGUGUUUUUUAUAUUUGUAGAAAAAAAUAUAUAUAUAAAAUUUAUUUAUUUAUUUAUUUAUUUAUUUUUUCUCUCUCUCUCUGACCGCCAGGAAAGCUGUGCAACUCAGUGGAAGUUCUGUAUCAACUUGAGAUCAUUGCUGAGUUCCUGCGAGUUUCAACGGCACCGCUGGACAAACAUUCUACCAAACUGCUACGGGUCAUCAGGAGCAAGGGAGGACGUGUGAAAGAGCAGACCACUAGGACCGUGGAAGUUUUGGAUGAGCUAUGGUGUCAGGGACUUGCGUAAACCAGCCAGCAGAGCACGGAUGAUUUUCUUGACGUCUUAAUUUAUCACUUUUUUUUCUUUUCUCCAAAGAGGGUUCCAACCAGCACCUGACAUUACAUAACAAUGGACGUAGUAACAAGACAAUGGACGUAGUAUCAAAGGAACCCAAACUCAGGACCUGACUACAGACAUGUAGACAAAAACCUCCCUAGAGACGCAACAGGAUCAGCUCAAAUAGCGGCUGAUCAGACCACUGCCCACACACCAGGGUGGGGAGACAUCAAUGAACAAAGAACAUAAAUAAACUACCCCUAACAAAUUCACACCAAUCAGUCCAUUCUGUUUGAGUUACUUCAAAUGAAAACAUAUUACUAUCAAAACCCAACUACUAUUUACAAAAGAGAAUAACUAAAUACACAAACACAGGAAUCUUCUCCCUUGAGAGUUGGUCUGACCCAAUGGUGCUGAUUAGUCCAAGUGAUCUGCUACAGCUGCUCCACCUCCAAGGCUACUGGCAACUCAAGAAAACAUUAAUCAUACAAACCCCUACAGACUGAGGCCCUGUCCACACGUAGCCGGGGAUCUGCCAAAACGUAGAUAUUUUUCUACGUUUUGGCCUGUCAUCCACACGAAAACGGAGUUUUUUCACACGAAAACGGAUCCUUUUAAAAACUCCGGCCAAAGUGAAGAUCUGCGUUUUCUCCGUUUUGGGUGUCUGCUUGUGGACAGACAAAACCGGAGUUUUAAGAACCGCAACGUCACUUUCCGCGACAAAAAAAUGCUGACAUCACGUGUGCGACCUGUGUUUACACUAGCCGACAGCUUGGAUGCCCUCAGAGCUGCGCUCGCUUUAUCAAUGGUCCAAGCGCUUUCUGCUUGUUUGUUUUUGCAAGAGGAAUUACUGCUCCUUGUGGAAGACCACAGACGAAGGACGAGGUCAAGAACGGGGGAAGUACUGCCGCCUACAGGUCUGGCAUGUCCUUAACAACGUAUUUAUCCGGGUAUGUGUGGACAGAGUUUUCUUUUAAAACGAGGUGGUGUGGAUGCAAGUUUUUGGAGGGGCGGAUAUUCGUUUUUAAAAAACCCGGCUACGUGUGGACUAGGCCUAAAACUGAUGAGUAACUGAACGUGUGCACUUCACACAGUCACCCAAACAGUCAGUCCAUGGAAACAAACACCUUUAUUCAAAAUAAAAGAAACAUUAACAGACAGUCAUUUACUGGGCAGCGGUCACAUAUGGGCAUAAGGGUUAGUGGGAUUUAUUAUGAGUGAGCUUGUUAUUAAUAGCAAUUGUUCUUACUCAGACUGUUGGCUUUCAUCACCUGUUAUCUUUGGAGGGGGGAUGGCGGUGCUGUUGAUACAUUUGAAGGAAGACCUCUCCUGACCGGUCAUAGACUUGUGGAGCCUGAAGCUGUCGCAGAGCCCUUGAGUCGGCAAAUGGCGGCGUUCCGUGUCUCCGCCCCCAUAACGGGGCGAGCACUUAACUCCCGUGCCACCGUCUCCCUACAUAAGGAACAUUUUUCUCUGAUUUGAUGAAUUAUUACAGAUGUGAGGUCAGCAAAACAGCGACCUGCAUCAAUAAAAGUUAGCUGGGUUUCUCACACACGAAUGACAUUAAAUUAUGAGUUUGUUUUGCAGCAUGCAAAAUCCCCGAUGCUGCUGCACCAACUGGUUUUAUAUCAUGAAGAGACUGGAAACCAUCAGACCAGAGAUGGUUGUUUGCAGCAGAGCUGGAGAAGGACGUUUGGGACCCAACAGCAGAGGAGGUGUGUAAAUGUUCUCCACAAGGUUUCAUGUGUUAGAUCAGAGGGUAAACACCUUCUUUAGAGGUUAUUAAAGCGAAAACCAGCUGAUGUGUGGCGUGAGGUGGGCGUGGCUCAGAGUUUAUUGUGUUUUAGCUCCAGUGAGAGCUGCAGCAUCUCCACUGGUUCUGCAGACCGUGCUCCAGUCUGGGUCAGACGUGUUUGUGUGACAGGAGCACAAGUGUUAAGUUUAAGGUAGAACUAAAGCAAACAUGGAGAAGGAUAAGAAACUUUAAUGAGUUUAUAAAUGAUCAAACAUGAGGUCUUAGUCGGCAUGAUAAACCAGUAGAGAACUCUAACUGGGGCGAGCCGGGGUAAUGGCUGGUGACACCAGGGCUGGCUACUGGAACAUCUGGAUCCACCUGCUCUCCUGACCAGGUGUGUUAGUCUACAGAGAAGUGGGCCAAAAGCCAAACAUUCCUCUUUACCUGCAGAGUUUACCGUUAACAUGAAUUAUAGUUGCUCUCUAUUCUGUUGUUCUAAGCCUGGGGGAGGUACCAAAAGCCUGGAAAGUCACUAAAACCAGCGGUCCAAAAAAAGCUGGUGCCACUGCUCCUAAAGAUUAGCUGGGUUGCUGAAGCGCUGGACCCACUCCCAUUUGCAUACAGAAGUAAGAGAGGCACUGGGGGCGCUGUGCUGACUCUGCUAAACACUCGAUGAGUCCAAAAACUCGAGAAUAUGUUUGUUGACUUUUGCUCAGCUUUAUACUCAAUGAAAACCCACAUCCUUUUAAAGAGGCUCAUUGUUCUUCACGUUAACUCCGGUCUGAUCCUUCGGAUCGGAGACUUUUUAACGUGGCGCCCACCGAGGGUCUACGGGGGGAUUUAUCUUUUUUUAUUUUUUACCGUGUCCUGUCUGGCUGUGAAGCAAGCAGAAUUGAUGUCUGAGUGUUGUUGACAAGCCUCACAGAUUUACUCUCAGGUGGAGCAUCAAAGUGUCUGCUUUAAUGUCACGCCUGAUACUUAAAACUUUAUUGUUAUUGUUUUUGAAUGCUUUGUAAUUCCGACCAGACACGGAGACAGAGGUGAAAGAGAAAGGAAAAGACAAAAGGUGGGGAGAGAGCGGGGGUGGGGUUCUUCUAGACCUGCAGAAAGAGAAAGAGCGGAAAAAAUAGGGACACACAACAAUACAUCAGGAGCAAGCUAUCACUGCGUCAACGUGAUGAUGAAAUAUAAAAUCAACAUUGUUUAACUGAACAAUCACACGAUAAUAAAUCACAGUGCAUUUAGUGCCAACCACAGCCUUAAGACAUGUGUUGAACGUGCCCAAGUCCAUACUUAUGAGAGCACCAUGUGAGCACCUGUGUGUGUACACGCGCUUGUUUAUGUAAGGUCUCUCUAUAGGAGCGUCCAAUAGAGAGUGUGAGGGG